rnacentral:sRNA from 1 species
GCUGGGUGCAGUGGCACAUGCCUGUAAUCCCAGCAGCUUGGGAGGCUGAGGCUGGAGGAUCACGAGAACAAAGCCAGCCUCAGCAACGGUGAGGAGCUAAGCAACUUAGUAAGACCCUGUCUCUA